rnacentral:rRNA from 1 species
UGCAGUCGAACGGUCUCUUCGGAGGCAGUGGCAGACGGGUGAGUAAUGCAUGGGAAUCUACCAUUCUCUACGGAAUAACUCAGGGAAACUUGUGCUAAUACCGUAUACGCCCUUUUGGGGAAAGAUUUAUCGGAGAGUGAUGAGCCCAUGUUGGAUUAGCUAGUUGGUGGGGUAAAGGCCUACCAAGGCGACGAUCCAUAGCUGGUCUGAGAGGAUGAUCAGCCACACUGGGACUGAGACACGGCCCAGACUCCUACGGGAGGCAGCAGUGGGGAAUAUUGGACAAUGGGCGCAAGCCUGAUCCAGCCAUGCCGCGUGAGUGAUGAAGGUCUUAGGAUUGUAAAGCUCUUUCACCGGUGAAGAUAAUGACGGUAACCGGAGAAGAAGCCCCGGCUAACUUCGUGCCAGCAGCCGCGGUAAUACGAAGGGGGCUAGCGUUGUUCGGAUUUACUGGGCGUAAAGCGCACGUAGGCGGACUUUUAAGUCAGGGGUGAAAUCCCAGAGCUCAACUCUGGAACUGCCUUUGAUACUGGAAGUCUUGAGUAUGGAAGAGGUGAGUGGAAUUCCGAGUGUAGAGGUGAAAUUCGUAGAUAUUCGGAGGAACACCAGUGGCG